CUCUAGGCAGCAAUUGUCUGCGCAUGCGCACUAGCCUCCCAAUACUUUUCUAUGGAGUAGCAUUUCUAUCAGGAUUGAUUAUCUCAGUGGGGGUCAGUCAGAGACUGGUGCUAUGGGGAAAUAGGGUGAGUAAAACUGAUUUUUUUAAAUUCGUUUUUGUUGAGCAAUAAUCUAAGCAGAUUCUAGAACACUGUAGCGUUAGGAAU